CAUAAAACAGAAUGCUGUUGGAGGGAUUGUGUCUAAUGAAAAAAAGGAAGGGAUGGUCUGCAAUAAAGGUUUUUGGGUCUCCUGGAAAUGAGGAUCCAAGACCAGUGACGACGCCGGUACCUGCGGUCCCUUUAGUUCCUUCCUCAUUUACUUCAACGAAGGAUUUAUGAAUCACCUUUGUCACCACCAGGUCCUUGUUGGGUGACAUGCCUGAAAGAUUCACCU